AUUGAACGCUGGCGGAAUGCUUUACACACGCAAGUCGAACGGCAGCACGGACUUCGGUCUGGUGGCGAGUGGCGAACGGGUGAGUAAUGUAUCGGAACGUAUCCAAUAAUGGGGGAUAACUAAUCGAAAGGUUGGCUAAUACCGCAUACGCCCUACGGGGGAAAGCAGGGGAUCUUCGGACCUUGCGUUAAUGGAGCGGCUGAUAUCUGAUUAGCUAGUUGGUGAGGUAAAGGCUCACCAAGGCGACGAUCAGUAGCUGGUCUGAGAGGACGACCAGCCACACUGGAACUGAGACACGGUCCAGACUCCUACGGGAGGCAGCAGUGGGGAAUUUUGGACAAUGGGCGCAAGCCUGAUCCAGCCAUUCCGCGUGAGUGAAGAAGGCCUUCGGGUUGUAAAGCUCUUUCGCAAGGGAAGAAAACUUACUUUCUAAUAAAGAGUGAGGUUGAUGGUACCUUGAUAAGAAGCACCGGCUAACUACGUGCCAGCCGCCGCCGUAA
rnacentral:rRNA from 1 species